UGGCUGAUUAUGCAUUGAAUUAUGCGAUGGCAUAAUCACAUUUUUCUGGAGGGACUGGUAAUAGAGAAUUGU